UCUCCCUACGGGAGGCAGCAGUGGGGAAUAUUGCACAAUGGGGAAAACCCUGAUGCAGCGACGCCGCGUGAGCGAUGAAGUAUUUCGGUAUGUAAAGCUCUAUCAGCAGGGAAGAAAAUGUCGGUACCUGACUAAGAAGCCCCGGCUAACUACGUGCCAGCAGCCGCGGUAAUACGUAGGGGGCAAGCGUUAUCCGGAUUUACUGGGUGUAAAGGGGGCGCAGACGGCUGUGCAAGCCAGAUGUGAAAGCCCGGGGCUCAACCCCGGGACUGCAUUUGGAAC
rnacentral:rRNA from 1 species